ACUGCAAAAAUGCGACUAUCGCAGCCAACUUCACCGACUUCUCACUUUACUGGAAAACGUGGAACGAACAUCACUUUGUUUCAAAAACGGCUGUCAAAAUGUGAUCCACUUAUGGGAUGCUGCGUUCAAGCGCUCGAAAAUGAUAAAUGAAACAAAAUGGAGUUGCAGACCAACACGUGCUUUCUAAAAAGAUCAAUAUGAUCUAAAUAUGAAAUUAUCACGAUCGCCAUCUUUACAGUUGGGAGGAGGGUUAACAUGUUAAAUUGUCGGUAGAAACAAGUCCAUUAUUUUGUCUUAUGGAAAUCUAGAGGCAACUAGAAAAGUUGAGGAACAUUCCACAGUCGAUGCCCCAAUAUCAUAUUGAAAAGGUUAUUGAAACAGAAGAAGAAAUCCUUUUUUGGUCAGAUAUUAAUCCCAAGGCCGUUUAUAUCUUUUCAGAUUUCAAUCCGUUGCAGGACACCAACUAAAAUCUUGUUAACCCAUACAAUGAAUAAAAUUCUUAAUUUGAAAGGUUAAAAA